rnacentral:rRNA from 1 species
CCCGCACAAGCGGUGGAGCAUGUGGUUUAAUUCGAAGCAACGCGAAGAACCUUACCAGGCCUUGACAUGCAGAGAACUUUCCAGAGAUGGAUUGGUGCCUUCGGGAACUCUGACACAGGUGGUGCAUAGUUGUCGUCAGCUCGUGUCGUGAGAUGUUGGGUUAAGUCCCGCAACGAGCGCAACCCUUGUGUUUUAGUUGCAAACAGGUCAAGCUGUGCACUCUAGACAGACUGCCGUGGACAACACGGAGGAAGGUGGGGAUGACGUCAAAUCAUCAUGCCCCUUAUGAUCUGGGCUACACACGUGCUACAAUGGCCGGUACAACGGGCAGCGAAGGAGCGAUCCGGAGCGAAUCCUAAAAAGCCGGUCCCAGUUCGGAUUGCAGGCUGAAACUCGCCUACAUGAAGUUGGAGUUGCUAGUAAUCGCGAAUCAGAAUGUCGCGGUGAAUGCGUUCCCGGGUCUU